AGAGCGAGGAUAGAAGAGACGCAGCUUGAGGGGAGAGAAGCUUCCACCGAGAGAGAGAGAGCCGAGGAAUCCACGCUGCGCUACGUGACUCUGCGGGUUCAAGCACGCGCUCAUGGGAUAAAAACCUCCCGCUCACAUUUGAGCGCUUCCUGUGUGUGUGUGGCGCGCGCGCCGACCGUGUGCCUUCGCAUGUGUUUUCUGCGAGGACUAAGAAAUGAUUUUGCAGCGCGAGCGCGAACGAAACCUCCCCACGCCUCUGUGAUCCUCAUCCACGCGCGGCGGUGAUCUGACGUGGAUCCGUUUGGACGUUGACAAACUUUUGCGCGAGCGCGUGUGAGUGUUUUUUUUUUUUUUUUUGAAUUGUUGUUGUUUACUUGGAGCCUGAGCAUCCAGGACGACAUGGAGGGCGAGAAGUACUUGCAGGAGCUCGUGGCAGAGAAGGACACGCUCGAUGCGCAUUUUCAGCACUCGCAGAGACUCCUGGACCAAGAGAUCGAAAAAGUCCAGAAAGACGACGACAAAGAGGAGGAGAAGUUCAUCGACGUCGUCAUCAACAAGAACAUGAAACUGGGCCAGAAAGUUUUAAUACCAGUCAAGCAGUUUCCUAAAUUUAACUUUGUCGGCAAACUCCUCGGGCCGCGUGGGAACUCGUUAAAGAGACUACAGGAGGACACUCUCACCAAGAUGUCAAUUCUCGGAAAAGGAUCCAUGCGAGACAAAGAAAAGGAAGAAGAGCUACGGCAGAGCGGCGAGGCCAAAUAUCACCACCUGAACGAGGACCUGCACGUCCUCAUUGAAGUGUUCGCCCCCCCGGCUGAGGCCUACGCCAGGAUGGGUCACGCUCUGGAGGAGAUCAAGAAGUUCCUCAUACCAGAUUACAAUGAUGAGAUCAGACAGGCCCAGCUGCAGGAGCUCACGUACCUGAACGGAGGCUCGGAGGACGCCAAGGUGCCAUCAGUGAGGGGCAAGUCAGUCACCCGUACAAGAGGGACACCUGUUCCUGGGCCUCCCAGGAGUCGAGGAGGAGUUCCUUCCCUGCACGCAGCAGUGCCCCGAGGAGCAGCACCCAGAGGAGCCCCACUCAGCCGGCCUCCGGCCUCCAGAGGGAGGGGGGUGCAGAGAGCCAGAGGUGCCCCACCAGCUGCAGGGUACCGGCCAGCUCCUCCCCUUGUCCAGGACACAUAUGGAGAAUAUGAAUACGACGACGGCUACGGAACAGCGUACGACGACCAAGGAUACGAGUCGUAUGACAACAACAACAACAACAACAGCUACAGUAAUCAAGGACAAAACUCAGACGACUACUAUGAAUACGGACACAGUGGAGAAUCAUACGACGCAUAUGGUCAGGAGGAGUGGGCAAACAGUCGCGGCAAAGCACCGUCGGCACGGACGACCAAGGCGGCGUACAGGGAUCCGCCGUACUCCAGAUAUUGAACUGUUUAUACAACCUGCACAACCUGAGUCCCCCCCCCCCUCGUGGCGGUUUCAACCCAAGUCGAUAUCACAGCUAAACUGGGCCAUGUGACCGAGGACCGCACUGGCGUAGAAGGCUCGAUGAACGACACCCCCCCCCUAAGAUCUCCCUCCAAACAUUCAAGCGCGAACAACGUCAAAGUGAAUCCACAAAAAAAAAGGCCCAUCAUCCAUUUUCACAUGAGACUUUGAGGUUCUGCCUGUUUCAGACUGAAGUGAACCCUGCUGCGUUUGAGCGAUACAUAUAUCACAAUAUACAUCUUCAAUCUUUUCUCCUGAAGAAAUGGCCGGAAAGAGGAAAAGCACACGAGGCAAAUGGAGUUCCUCGUCCUCUGGGAGGGUCUGUCGGAGAACAUUUAUUUGAAAUGCCUCUAUAUACAUUUUCCACACACACACACACAGGAGAGUGUGUGUCUUUCUUCAGACUACCUCUUAUAUUAGACAUUAACUGUAGCCUGUAAUGGAAGAGGAGUGAAUAAAUGAUGAAAUAUGGUAAAGGUAGUGACACAUUAACCGUUAUGGAAUCCACUUCAGUUCCUGAAUGUGCCUUAUUGUUGCAUUGUAAUGACAGGUUUGAAUGUUUCGGAGUUCAAACACAAGCUGUUUAUUCUUCUUUCCUUUGAUGCUGCCGGAGAUCACCGCGCGGCCACCGACACAGAAGCUUAUUCCAGAUGUAUCGCUUAAUCAGAAACGACUUCAGUGGAUAUUACAAUUCCAAAAUAGCUUUCCCUAUCGGAUAGAGAGCUUCCCGUGUCGGAUAGGCCGAGCCGCGUAUCCCCCACCGCCACAUGUCCUUAGUGGCAGACAAUGGUUUUCCAUUAGAGGGGAGUGAUUCUCUCUGGAGCCUCAGGCCAAGCCUCAGACAAUAACAUGGCAGCCCCGGAGCUCGCCGAGUUGACUCUCAUCGCCCUCGGGGGCUGAUUCUCCCUCUGAAGUGGCUUAUAACGACAGGCUUAUCUGAGCCACGCUUGUCCGACUUAAUAAAGCAAGAGCGGCUUAUUUGAUUAAGCAUGCAUACAAAGGGAGCAUGUAGUAGUUGUCUGUCACCACGAGACAACUCCAUUUCAACACUCGACUUCAGAGAGAGCGCGAGGGACUUUACGUUUAACCAGGAACAAAAUAAUAAGAAAUAACGUUACAUUCAGUUCAAAGUCGGGCUGUCAAUCUUCCUCUAUAAUCAAAUUCCAGUUCCAUUCCUUAUUAUUUUUAAUAUUUGAAUUAUAUUCAAGUUUUUAAUUAAAAUCUGAAUACAUUUAACAAGCAGGGACACUGGCGGCCGCAGGUGCCUCGCGACGGCGUUAAUAGAAUUAGCCGCGUUGUCUGUGGUGAUGUCGGACUCUGACUCACGCUCCACUCUCCCGAGUUUGUCGCCGAUGCAUGUGGCAACGUUUUCGGCCUAUCUUUCAGCUCCCACUCCUCGGCUAAGAUCCGUGUGCCGUGUGAUGAAGUCUCUGGGAGAUGUUCACCGGUCUCAUGUCUUUGUAAAUAAAGCGCACCAGUUUGUCUGUGACAGCAUUCUGACCAGCAGCUGUGAACCCCGCGAUGUGGAGGGAGGUAAAAACGCGUUAUUCUUGCCUGCUCGGUGAUCUCCGUGGGUGCUUUGUCUGAAUGAACGUGAGAUUGUUGUGAUUCAGAAAACUUUAUUGUUCCGUGACGGUCGUACGUGACCAAAGCAUUCUGUUUUUCACACGAGGUAUUAGAAAGAGGGCGGGGCUUCCAUCGCCACGCUUUAACACGUGUAUAAAAAAUAUAAUUACAGCAUUCGAUUAUCAUUGAUUUUUUUAUUAUUUGAAUAACAUUUGACUCCCACAAUUCAUUCCAACAGCCCUGGUCCCAAGCAGCUUCUUUCUUUCUUAGUUAUUGUAACUGUAACAUUAAAAACACAUACGUUUUAACAACUUUGAAUAUUUCAAAUGUGAAAAACUGCUUUAAAAUAUGGUGCAGUCUCCAUGCAUCAGUGAGAUUAAGCAUAUUUUGGUCGACUCAAUACAUACAACCUCAUAUCAUAACUGUUUUCUGUUUUUUUUUAAAGUGGAUUUGUGUUUCUCUUCCUGAGUCAUGCUCAGGAUUGUUCUGUAAUUAACAGGAGGGCUCUUAGUCUUAAUACUGAGAUUAAAACAGCUUCAGAUUGUGUGUCCCCUCCUUAGUGGAGCACUCACAUUGUGACGGAUGGAUUAUUGCAGGACUGUGAGUGAACUAUGGUGAAUAUUAUAAUAGCAAUAACGCUGAAACCAUUUUCCAUCACCACUGUGACGCUGACCAACGGACAUACAAUAAAAUACAAGCAUGUGCCCACAGCAGGUGCACAUAUGGGGAACAACAACAUGUGUACAGUGUCUGUCCGUCAAUAUGUCCCAUACACUGUUAUGUGUUCAACUCACUGACUCUGGAAGUACAUACAUGUCUGUGUUGCUGAUAACCCCAAACAGUAAUAAAGUCUGGUCAAAAAUAAAAG